UUCCGGUUGAUCCUGCCAGAGGUCAUUGCUAUUGGAGUCCGAUUUAGCCAUGCUAGUUGCACGAGUUUAGACUCGUAGCAGAUAGCUCAGUAACACGUGGCCAAACUACCCUAUAGACGGCGAUAACCUCGGGAAACUGAGGCUAAUAGCCGAUACAGUUCACUGCCUGGAGUGGCGCGAACUGGAAACGUUCAGGCGCUAUAGGAUGUGGCUGCGGCCGAUUAGGUAGACGGUGGGGUAACGGCCCACCGUGCCUAUAAUCGGUACGGGUUGUGAGAGCAAGAGCCCGGAGACGGUAUCUGAGACAAGAUACCGGGCCCUACGGGGCGCAGCAGGCGCGAAACCUUUACACUGCACAAGAGUGCGAUAAGGGGACUCCAAGUGCGAGGGCAUAUAGUCCUCGCUUUUCUCGAUCGUAAGGUGGUCGAAGAAUAAGUGCUGGGCAAGACCGGUGCCAGCCGCCGCGGUAAUACCGGCAGCACGAGUGAUGGCCGAUUUUAUUGGGCCUAAAGCGUCCGUAGCCGGCCGAGCAAGUCUGUUGGGAAAUCCACGCGCCCAACGCGUGGGCGUCCAGCGGAAACUGUUCGGCUUGGGGCCAGAGGACUCGAGGGGUACGUCCGGGGUAGGAGUGAAAUCCCGUAAUCCUGGACGGACCACCGAUGGCGAAAGCACCUCGAGAAGAUGGACCCGACGGUGAGGGACGAAAGCUUGGGUCUCGAACCGGAUUAGAUACCCGGGUAGUCCAAGCUGUAAACGAUGCUCGCUAGGUGUGCCGCAGCUACGAGCCUGCGCUGUGCCGUAGGGAAGCCGAGAAGCGAGCCGCCUGGGAAGUACGUCCGCAAGGAUGAAACUUAAGGAUUGGCGGGGA
rnacentral:rRNA from 1 species